AUUGAACGCUAGCGGGAUGCUUUACACAUGCAAGUCGAACGAGUGGCGGACGGGUGAGUAAUAUAUCGGAACGUGCCCAGUAGCGGGGGAUAACUACUCGAAAGAGUGGCUAAUACUGCAUACUAUUGGAGCGGCCGAUAUCGGAUUAGCUAGGUGGUGGUGUAAAGGCUCACCAAGGCAACGAUCCGGAGCUGGUUUGUGAGGACGACCAGCCAGACUGGGACAGAGACACGGCCCAGACUCCUACGGUAGGCAGAAGUGGGGAAUUUUGGGGAAUGGAGGAAACCCUGAUCCAGCCAUCCGGAGUGAAUGAGAAGGCCUUCGGGGUGAAAAGUACUUUUGGCAGAGAAGCGGUGUCUGCAGAAUAAACACCGGCUAACUACAAGCCGGCAGCCGCGGUAAUUC
rnacentral:rRNA from 1 species